UGAGCAAUUAUUCACUUACUCCCGACAGAC
rnacentral:sRNA from 1 species